rnacentral:rRNA from 1 species
GUGGAUUAGAUACCCUGGUAGUCCACGCCGUAAACGAUGUCAACUAGUUGUUGGGUUCCUUGAGAACUUAGUAACGAAGCUAACGCGAUAAGUUGACCGCCUGGGGAGUACGGCCGCAAGGUUAAAACUCAAAUGAAUUGACGGGGGCCCGCACAAGCGGUGGAGCAUGUGGUUUAAUUCGAAGCAACGCGAAGAACCUUACCUGGCCUUGACAUGCUGAGAACUUUCCAGAGAUGGAUUGGUGCCUUCGGGAACUCAGACACAGGUGCUGCAUGGCCGUCGCCCGCU